rnacentral:rRNA from 2 species
CUGGAACGCGCCCCAGGCGCACCCAGAAACCCUUUGUGAACUUAUACCUUACUGUUGCCUCGGCGCAUGCUGGCCCCCUCGGGGUCCCUUGGAGACAAGGAGCAGGCACGCCGGCGGCCAAGUUAACUCUUGUUUUUACACUGAAACUCUGAGAAAAAACACAAAUGAAUCAAAACUUUCAACAACGGAUCUCUUGGUUCUGGCAUCGAUGAAGAACGCAGCGAAAUGCGAUAAGUAAUGUGAAUUGCAGAAUUCAGUGAAUCAUCGAAUCUUUGAACGCACAUUGCGCCCUCUGGUAUUCCGGAGGGCAUGCCUGUUCGAGCGUCAUUUCAACCCUCAAGCAUUGCUUGGUGUUGGGGCACUGCCUGUAAAAGGGCAGGCCCUGAAAUCUAGUGGCGAGCUCGCUAGGACCCCGAGCGCAGUAGUUAAACCCUCGCUUUGGAAGGCCCUGGCGGUGCCCUGCCGUUAAACCCCCAACUUUUGAAAAU